rfam:Gossypium hirsutum cultivar TM-1 unplaced genomic scaffold scaffold3763.1, whole genome shotgun sequence
UGUUAAAAUUUCAUCCAUUUCUACUUUUAAAAAUUAACUUAGUUGAUGGAAUAAUCAGUCAGUUACACGUGACGUGUCAUGUGUACCUUGUGCUUAUAUAGAGAGACUAGUUUUUACGGUAGAAAUAAGUGAAUUUUUAAACU